GAGUGUUGAUUUGGAUAAGGAUGUGGUUUUUGAAACCUUCAGAAGAAUACACAUGCACUGGAAAAUAUAAAUAUUACAAUACGUCUAUUGAUAGCAAAUCAAAACAAGUUAACAUCCAUUGCGAAUGGAUAAAUGAAACUGUGUUUAGUGAAGUAACCAGCAACUCAAUUGUGAUUUUCUGGAAUCUGUCCCCAGGGGAUAAAUGCAAAGGAAUUACAUGGGAAAAAUUUUCAGCCAUUUGUAAAAAAUCUCAUGAUCAAAAUUGCAGAAAAGUAAAUGACACAACUGCGAAAUGCGUAUUUUUCUGAAUUAAGUCGUAUAUCAAUUACACAUGCACACUUUCAGCCGAGGUCAACAAAUCCAUUGGCGUCUUCCCUAUUUAUACCAGAGAUUUUAAUCAAAGAACAAAUUCUUAAAUCCCAGUUUUGAAGACCAUGAUAAUGUCAAAGUGAAGGAAACAUCUCAUAAUUCUUUUAAUGUAAAUUGCAAAAAUUU